rnacentral:rRNA from 1 species
GCAGUCGAGCGCACCUUCGGGUGAGCGGCGGACGGGUUAGUAACGCGUGGGAACGUGCCCUUCUCUACGGAAUAGCCUCGGGAAACUGAGAGUAAUACCGUAUACGCCCUUCGGGGGAAAGAUUUAUCGGAGAAGGAUCGGCCCGCGUUAGAUUAGAUAGUUGGUGGGGUAAUGGCCUACCAAGUCUACGAUCUAUAGCUGGUUUUAGAGGACGACCAGCAACACUGGGACUGAGACACGGCCCAGACUCCUACGGGAGGCAGCAGUGGGGAAUCUUAGACAAUGGGCGAAAGCCUGAUCUAGCCAUGCCGCGUGUGUGAUGAAGGUCUUAGGAUCGUAAAGCACUUUCGCCAGGGAUGAUAAUGACAGUACCUGGUAAAGAAACCCCGGCUAACUCCGUGCCAGCAGCCGCGGUAAUACGGAGGGGGUUAGCGUUGUUCGGAAUUACUGGGCGUAAAGCGUACGUAGGCGGAUCAGAAAGUAGGGGGUGAAAUCCCAGGGCUCAACCCUGGAACUGCCUCCUAAACUCCUGGUCUUGAGUUCGAGAGAGGUGAGUGGAAUUCCAAGUGUAGAGGUGAAAUUCGUAGAUAUUUGGAGGAACACCAGUGGCGAAGGCGGCUCACUGGCUCGAUACUGACGCUGAGGUACGAAAGUGUGGGGAGCAAACAGGAUUAGAUACCCUGGUAGUCCACACCGUAAACGAUGAAUGCCAGUCGUCGGGCAGUAUACUGUUCGGUGACACACCUAACGGAUUAAGCAUUCCGCCUGGGGAGUACGGUCGCAAGAUUAAAACUCAAAGGAAUUGACGGGGG